rnacentral:rRNA from 1 species
UACGUAGGGUGCAAGCGUUGUCCGGAAUUAUUGGGCGUAAAGAGCUCGUAGGCGGUCUGUCGCGUCGGCUGUGAAAACCCGGAGCUCAACUCCGGGCCUGCAGUCGAUACGGGCAGACUGGAGUUCGGCAGGGGAGACCUGGAAUUCCUGGUGUAGCGGUGAAAUGCGCAGAUAUCAGGAGGAACACCGGUGGCGAAGGCGGGU